rnacentral:rRNA from 1 species
UACGUAGGGUGCAAGCGUUAAUCGGAAUUACUGGGCGUAAAGCGUGCGCAGGCGGUUUUGUAAGUCUGACGUGAAAUCCCCGGGCUCAACCUGGGAAUUGCAUUGGAGACUGCAAGGCUGGAGUCUGGCAGAGGGGGGUAGAAUUCCACGUGUAGCAGUGAAAUGCGUAGAGAUGUGGAGGAACACCGAUGGCGAAGGCAGCCCCCUGGGUCAAGACUGACGCUCAUGCACGAAAGCGUGGGGAGCAAACAGG